GGUCAAGUGAAGAAGCGCAUACGGUGGAUGCCUUGGCAGUCAGAGGCGAUGAAAGACGUGGUAGCCUGCGAAAAGCUUCGGGGAGUCGGCAAACAGACUUUGAUCCGGAGAUGUCUGAAUGGGGGAACCCAGCCAUCAUAAGAUGGUUAUCUUGUACUGAAUACAUAGGUGCAAGAGGCGAACCAGGGGAACUGAAACAUCUAAGUACCCUGAGGAAAAGAAAUCAACCGAGAUUCCCUUAGUAGUGGCGAGCGAACGGGGACUAGCCCUUAAGUGGCUUUGAGAUUAGCGGAACGCUCUGGAAAGUGCGGCCAUAGUGGGUGAUAGCCCUGUACGCGAAAAUCUCUUAGUCAUGAAAUCGAGUAGGACGGAGCACGAGAAACUUUGUCUGAAUAUGGGGGGACCAUCCUCCAAGGCUAAAUACUACUGACUGACCGAUAGUGAACUAGUACCGUGAGGGAAAGGCGAAAAGAACCCCGGAGAGGGGAGUGAAAUAGAUCCUGAAACCGUAUGCGUACAAGCAGUGGGAGCCCACUUUGUUGGGUGACUGCGUACCUUUUGUAUAAUGGGUCAGCGACUUAUUUUCAGUGGCGAGCUUAACCGAAUAGGGGAGGCGUAGCGAAAGCGAGUCUUAAUAGGGCGUCUAGUCGCUGGGAAUAGACCCGAAACCGGGCGAUCUAUCCAUGGGCAGGUUGAAGGUUGGGUAACACUAACUGGAGGACCGAACCGACUACCGUUGAAAAGUUAGCGGAUGACCUGUGGAUCGGAGUGAAAGGCUAAUCAAGCUCGGAGAUAGCUGGUUCUCCUCGAAAGCUAUUUAGGUAGCGCCUCAUGUAUCACUGUAGGGGGUAGAGCACUGUUUCGGCUAGGGGGUCAUCCCGACUUACCAAACCGAAGCAAACUCCGAAUACCUACAAGUGCCGAGCAUGGGAGACACACGGCGGGUGCUAACGUCCGUCGUGAAAAGGGAAACAACCCAGACCGUCAGCUAAGGUCCCAAAGUUAUGGUUAAGUGGGAAACGAUGUGGGAAGGCUUAGACAGCUAGGAGGUUGGCUUAGAAGCAGCCACCCUUUAAAGAAAGCGUAAUAGCUCACUAGUCGAGUCGGCCUGCGCGGAAGAUGUAACGGGGCUCAAACCAUACACCGAAGCUACGGGUAUCACGUAAGUGAUGCGGUAGAGGAGCGUUCUGUAAGCCUGUGAAGGUGAGUUGAGAAGCUUGCUGGAGGUAUCAGAAGUGCGAAUGCUGACAUGAGUAACGACAAUGGGUGUGAAAAACACCCACGCCGAAAGACCAAGGUUUCCUGCGCAACGUUAAUCGACGCAGGGUUAGUCGGUCCCUAAGGCGAGGCUGAAAAGCGUAGUCGAUGGAAAACAGGUUAAUAUUCCUGUACUUCUGGUUAUUGCGAUGGAGGGACGGAGAAGGCUAGGCCAGCUUGGCGUUGGUUGUCCAAGUUUAAGGUGGUAGGCUGAGAUCUUAGGUAAAUCCGGGAUCUUAAGGCCGAGAGCUGAUGACGAGUCAUCUUUUAGAUGACGAAGUGGUUGAUGCCAUGCUUCCAAGAAAAGCUUCUAAGCUUCAGGUAACCAGGAACCGUACCCCAAACCGACACAGGUGGUUGGGUAGAGAAUACCAAGGCGCUUGAGAGAACUCGGGUGAAGGAACUAGGCAAAAUGGCACCGUAACUUCGGGAGAAGGUGCGCCGGUGAGGGUGAAGGACUUGCUCCGUAAGCUCAUGCCGGUCGAAGAUACCAGGCCGCUGCGACUGUUUAUUAAAAACACAGCACUCUGCAAACACGAAAGUGGACGUAUAGGGUGUGACGCCUGCCCGGUGCCGGAAGGUUAAUUGAUGGGGUUAGCUAACGCGAAGCUCUUGAUCGAAGCCCCGGUAAACGGCGGCCGUAACUAUAACGGUCCUAAGGUAGCGAAAUUCCUUGUCGGGUAAGUUCCGACCUGCACGAAUGGCGUAACGAUGGCGGCGCUGUCUCCACCCGAGACUCAGUGAAAUUGAAAUCGCUGUGAAGAUGCAGUGUAUCCGCGGCUAGACGGAAAGACCCCGUGAACCUUUACUAUAGCUUUGCACUGGACUUUGAAUUUGCUUGUGUAGGAUAGGUGGGAGGCUUUGAAGCGUGGACGCCAGUCUGCGUGGAGCCAUCCUUGAAAUACCACCCUGGCAACUUUGAGGUUCUAACUCAGGUCCGUUAUCCGGAUCGAGGACAGUGUAUGGUGGGUAGUUUGACUGGGGCGGUCUCCUCCUAAAGAGUAACGGAGGAGUACGAAGGUGCGCUCAGACCGGUCGGAAAUCGGUCGUAGAGUAUAAAGGCAAAAGCGCGCUUGACUGCGAGACAGACACGUCGAGCAGGUACGAAAGUAGGUCUUAGUGAUCCGGUGGUUCUGUAUGGAAGGGCCAUCGCUCAACGGAUAAAAGGUACUCCGGGGAUAACAGGCUGAUUACCGCCCAAGAAGUUCAUAUCGACGGCGGUGUUUGGCACCUCGAUGUCGGCUCAUCACAUCCUGGGGCUGAAGCCGGUCCCAAGGGUAUGGCUGUUCGCCAUUUAAAGUGGUACGCGAGCUGGGUUUAGAACGUCGUGAGACAGUUCGGUCCCUAUCUGCCGUGGACGUUUGAGAUUUGAGAGGGGCUGCUCCUAGUACGAGAGGACCGGAGUGGACGAACCUCUGGUGUUCCGGUUGUCACGCCAGUGGCAUUGCCGGGUAGCUAUGUUCGGAAUAGAUAACCGCUGAAAGCAUCUAAGCGGGAAACUAGCCUCAAGAUGAGAUCUCACUGGAACCUUGAGUUCCCUGAAGGGCCGUCGAAGACUACGACGUUGAUAGGUUGGGUGUGUAAGCGCUGUGAGGCGUUGAGCUAACCAAUACUAAUUGCCCGUGAGGCUUGACCAU
rnacentral:rRNA from 1 species